rnacentral:tRNA from 1 species
UUUCUCUUUCUCAGGACA